rnacentral:rRNA from 1 species
CCUACGGGAGGCUGCAGUGGGGAAUAUUGGACAAUGGGGGCAACCCUGAUCCAGCCAUGCCGCAUGUGUGAAGAAGGCCCUCGGGUUGUAAAGCACUUUCAGUGAGGAAGAACGCCUGGUGGUUAAUACCCAUCAGGAAAGACAUCACUCACAGAAGAAGCACCGGCUAACUCCGUGCCAGCAGCCGCGGUAAUACGGAGGGUGCGAGCGUUAAUCGGAAUUACUGGGCGUAAAGCGCGCGUAGGUGGCUUGAUAAGCCGGUUGUGAAAGCCCCGGGCUCAACCUGGGAACGGCAUCCGGAACUGUCAAGCUAGAGUGCAGGAGAGGAAGGUAGAAUUCCCGGUGUAGCGGUGAAAUGCGUAGAGAUCGGGAGGAAUACCAGUGGCGAAGGCGGCCUUCUGGACUGACACUGACACUGAGGUGCGAAAGCGUGGGUAGCAAACAGGAUUAGAUACCCUAGUAGUC